rnacentral:rRNA from 1 species
UACGGGGGGUGCGAGCGUUGUCCGGAAUCACUGGGCGUAAAGGGCGCGUAGGCGGAUGGCACAGUCAGAUGUGAAAUUCCCGGGCUUAACCUGGGGGCUGCAUUUGAUACGUGUUGUCUAGAGUGAGGAAGAGGGUUGUGGAAUUCCCAGUGUAGAGGUGAAAUUCGUAGAUAUUGGGAAGAACACCGGUGGCGAAGGCGGCAACCUGGUCCUUGACUGACGCUGAGGCGCGAAAGCGUGGGGAGCAAACAGG